rnacentral:lncRNA from 1 species
AAACAUUUCUUUGUUAUUUAGUUUUUCAAAAUGUUUGCCAUAUGUAUUUUUUGAAAAUUGUCCUUAAACUUUGAGAGAAGUGAGGAAAGUAUUUGGUCUCAAUUUGAACUUCUAACAGUGUCUCGAAAAAUAUUUAAUAAUUUGAGUUUCGAGAUAAGAAGCCAAUUUGUUAUGAGGGUUAGGACUACAAUCAUGCCAUGUGGGUUAAAGUUAGGGCUGGAUGGGUGAAGUGUAAGUAAGUACACGAUAUUGGCAAACAUAUCAUACACAUUUGAACUUUUUAUUUGGGAAAAUUGGAACAGUUGAUUGUAUUACUCUUAUCAUAUUAACACUGCUGCUGUUGUCAUAGUAACACUGCUGCUGUUGUUGUUCUCAUAUUAACACUGCUGCUGUUGUUGUCAUAGUAACACUGCUGCUGUUGUUGUUCUCAUAUUAACACUGCUGCUGUUGUUGUUGUUGUUCUCAUAUUAAAACUGUUGCUGUUGUUGUCACAUUAACACUGCUGUUGUUGCUGUUGUUGUUGUCACAUUAACACUGCUGCUGCUGUUCUCAUAUUAACACUGCUGUUGUUGUUGUCAUAGUAACACUGCUGCUGCUGUUGUUCUGCUGUUGUUGUUGUUGUUGUUGUUGUUGUUGUCAUAUUAACACUGCUGCUGUUGUUGUUGUUUGUUCUCAUAUUAACACUGCUGCUGCUGUUGUCAUAUUAACACUCCUGUUGUCAUAGUAACACUGCUGCUGCUGCUGUUGUUGUUGUUGUUGUUCUCACAUUAACACUGCUGUUGUCAUAUUAGCAAUUCAAUUGAAUAUUAUUCAUUUAUUAAUAGAAUUGUCUCAAGGCUUCUUUGCUGCUUCUUUCAUAUUAACAUUUCUGCAUUGUGUCGUCUAUUCCCAGCAUCCCACUGCUGUCUUGAUGGGGUCAGAGGUCACGGUCGGGACUGCUGUCUUGAUGGGGUCAGGGGUCAGAGGUCACGGUGAGGACUGCUGUCUUGAUGGGGUCAGAGGUCACGGUGAGGACUGCUGUCUUGAUGGGGUCAGGGGUCAGAGGUCA